UUAAGCGACUAAGCGUACACGGUGGAUGCCCUGGCAGUCAGAGGCGAUGAAGGACGUGCUAAUCUGCGAUAAGCGUCGGUGAGGUGAUAUGAACCGUUAUAACCGGCGAUUUCCGAAUGGGGAAACCCAGUGUGUUUCGACACACUAUCAUUAACUGAAUCCAUAGGUUAAUGAGGCGAACCGGGGGAACUGAAACAUCUAAGUACCCCGAGGAAAAGAAAUCAACCGAGAUUCCCCCAGUAGCGGCGAGCGAACGGGGAGGAGCCCAGAGCCUGAAUCAGUGUGUGUGUUAGUGGAAGCGUCUGGAAAGGCGCGCGAUACAGGGUGACAGCCCCGUACACAAAAAAAAUGCACAUACUGUGAGCUCGAUGAGUAGGGCGGGACACGUGGUAUCCUGUCUGAAUAUGGGGGGACCAUCCUCCAAGGCUAAAUACUCCUGACUGACCGAUAGUGAACCAGUACCGUGAGGGAAAGGCGAAAAGAACCCCGGCGAGGGGAGUGAAAAAGAACCUGAAACCGUGUACGUACAAGCAGUGGGAGCCUCUUAAUGGGGUGACUGCGUACCUUUUGUAUAAUGGGUCAGCGACUUAUAUUCUGUAGCAAGGUUAACCGAAUAGGGGAGCCGAAGGGAAACCGAGUCUUAACUGGGCGUUAAGUUGCAGGGUAUAGACCCGAAACCCGGUGAUCUAGCCAUGGGCAGGUUGAAGGUUGGGUAACACUAACUGGAGGACCGAACCGACUAAUGUUGAAAAAUUAGCGGAUGACUUGUGGCUGGGGUGAAAGGCCAAUCAAACCGGGAGAUAGCUGGUUCUCCCCGAAAGCUAUUUAGGUAGCGCCUCGUGAAUUCAUCUCCGGGGGUAGAGCACUGUUUCGGCAAGGGGGUCAUCCCGACUUACCAACCCGAUGCAAACUGCGAAUACCGGAGAAUGUUAUCACGGGAGACACACGGCGGGUGCUAACGUCCGUCGUGAAGAGGGAAACAACCCAGACCGCCAGCUAAGGUCCCAAAGUCAUGGUUAAGUGGGAAACGAUGUGGGAAGGCCCAGACAGCCAGGAUGUUGGCUUAGAAGCAGCCAUCAUUUAAAGAAAGCGUAAUAGCUCACUGGUCGAGUCGGCCUGCGCGGAAGAUGUAACGGGGCUAAACCAUGCACCGAAGCUGCGGCAGCGACACUAUGUGUUGUUGGGUAGGGGAGCGUUCUGUAAGCCUGUGAAGGUGUACUGUGAGGGUUGCUGGAGGUAUCAGAAGUGCGAAUGCUGACAUAAGUAACGAUAAAGCGGGUGAAAAGCCCGCUCGCCGGAAGACCAAGGGUUCCUGUCCAACGUUAAUCGGGGCAGGGUGAGUCGACCCCUAAGGCGAGGCCGAAAGGCGUAGUCGAUGGGAAACAGGUUAAUAUUCCUGUACUUGGUGUUACUGCGAAGGGGGGACGGAGAAGGCUAUGUUGGCCGGGCGACGGUUGUCCCGGUUUAAGCGUGUAGGCUGGUUUUCCGGCAAAUCCGGAAAAUCAAGGCUGAGGCGUGAUGACGAGGCACUACGGUGCUGAAGCGACAAAUGCCCUGCUUCCAGGAAAAGCCUCUAAGCAUCAGGUAACAUCAAAUCGUACCCCAAACCGACACAGGUGGUCAGGUAGAGAAUACCAAGGCGCUUGAGAGAACUCGGGUGAAGGAACUAGGCAAAAUGGUGCCGUAACUUCGGGAGAAGGCACGCUGAUAUGUAGGUGAAGCGACUUGCUCGUGGAGCUGAAAUCAGUCGAAGAUACCAGCUGGCUGCAACUGUUUAUUAAAAACACAGCACUGUGCAAACACGAAAGUGGACGUAUACGGUGUGACGCCUGCCCGGUGCCGGAAGGUUAAUUGAUGGGGUUAGCGGUAACGCGAAGCUCUUGAUCGAAGCCCCGGUAAACGGCGGCCGUAACUAUAACGGUCCUAAGGUAGCGAAAUUCCUUGUCGGGUAAGUUCCGACCUGCACGAAUGGCGUAAUGAUGGCGAGGCUGUCUCCACCCGAGACUCAGUGAAAUUGAACUCGCUGUGAAGAUGCAGUGUACCCGCGGCAAGACGGAAAGACCCCGUGAACCUUUACUAUAGCUUGACACUGAACAUUGAGCCUUGAUGUGUAGGAUAGGUGGGAGGCUUUGAAGUGUGGACGCCAGUCUGCAUGGAGCCGACCUUGAAAUACCACCCUUUAAUGUUUGAUGUUCUAACGUGGGCCCCUUACCGGGGUUGCGGACAGUGUCUGGUGGGUAGUUUGACUGGGGCGGUCUCCUCCUAAAGAGUAACGGAGGAGCACGAAGGUUGGCUAAUCCUGGUCGGACAUCAGGAGGUUAGUGCAAUGGCAUAAGCCAGCUUGACUGCGAGCGUGACGGCGCGAGCAGGUGCGAAAGCAGGUCAUAGUGAUCCGGUGGUUCUGAAUGGAAGGGCCAUCGCUCAACGGAUAAAAGGUACUCCGGGGAUAACAGGCUGAUACCGCCCAAGAGUUCAUAUCGACGGCGGUGUUUGGCACCUCGAUGUCGGCUCAUCACAUCCUGGGGCUGAAGUAGGUCCCAAGGGUAUGGCUGUUCGCCAUUUAAAGUGGUACGCGAGCUGGGUUUAGAACGUCGUGAGACAGUUCGGUCCCUAUCUGCCGUGGGCGCUGGAGAACUGAGGGGGCUGCUCCUAGUACGAGAGGACCGGAGUGGACGCAUCACUGGUGUUCGGGUUGUCAUGCCAAUGGCACUGCCCGGUAGCUAAAUGCGGAAGAGAUAAGUGCUGAAAGCAUCUAAGCACGAAACUUGCCCCGAGAUGAGUUCUCCCUGACUCCUUGAGAGUCCUGAAGGAACGUUGAAGACGACGACGUUGAUAGGCCGGGUGUGUAAGCGCAGCGAUGCGUUGAGCUAACCGGUACUAAUGAACCGUGAGGCUUAACCU
rnacentral:rRNA from 1 species